AAGGUUUGACAUGGAGGGCAAAGUUGAAGAAAUUCAACGGAGGUUAUCCCGACACAGGUGGUGCAUGGUCGUCGUCAGUUCGUGCUGUGAAGCAUAUGCUUAAGUGCUAUAACGAACGCAACCCUCGUAUUUAGUUACUAUCAUUCAGUUGAGAACUCUAAAUAGACUGCUAAGGUAACUUAGAGGAAGGUAGAGGAUGACGUCUGAUCAUCAUGCCCCUUAUAUUCGUUGGGUA
rnacentral:rRNA from 1 species